rnacentral:rRNA from 1 species
ACGGGUGAGUAACGCGUGGGUAACCUGCCUCAUACAGGGGGGAUAACAGUUGGAAACGACUGCUAAUACCGCAUAAGCCCACGGCUCGGCAUCGAGCAGAGGGAAAAGGAGCAAUCCGCUUUGAGAUGGCCUCGCGUCCGAUUAGCUAGUUGGUGAGGUAACGGCCCACCAAGGCGACGAUCGGUAGCCGGACUGAGAGGUUGAACGGCCACAUUGGGACUGAGACACGGCCCAGACUCCUACGGGAGGCAGCAUG